rnacentral:rRNA from 1 species
GAUGAACGCUGGCGGCGUGCCUAAUACAUGCAAGUCGAGCGAACGGACGAGAAGCUUGCUUCUCUGACGUUAGCGGCGGACGGGUGAGUAACACGUGGAUAACCUACCUAUAAGACUGGGAUAACUUCGGGAAACCGGAGCUAAUACCGGAUGAUAUUUUGAACCGCAUGGUUCAAAAGUGAAAGACGGUCUUGCUGUCACUUAUAGAUGGAUCCGCGCUGCAUUAGCUAGUUGGUAAGGUAACCGCUUACCAAGGCAACGAUGCAUAGCCGACCUGAGAGGGUGAUCGGCCACACUGGAACUGAGACACGGUCCAGACUCCUACGGGAGGCAGCAGUAGGGAAUCUUCCGCAAUGGGCGAAAGCCUGACGGAGCGACGCCGCGUGAGUGAUGAAGGUCUUCGGAUCGUAAAACUCUGUUAUUAGGGAAGAACAUAUGUGUAAGUAACUGUGCACAUCUUGACGGUACCUAAUCAGAAAGCCACGGCUAACUACGUG